rnacentral:lncRNA from 10 species
GUGAUUAACUGGUCUCUUAGUACUAACGUGGGAUCCCAUUUCAAUUCAUCUCCUCUUGCCAGGCCAGUAAAGCUCUUGAAAUAGUUUUAACUUCAUCAACUGAUUACUCAUGGGGAGAAGGGAUUAUUUUGGGUCUUGUCUUGCUAGUAAGGGACAGAGUGAGUGGAAUAGAACCAAUCCAGUAUUCUUGUCACUUUUAAGUCUUUACAUUAUAUAUUAAAGAUUACACAUAAUAAUCCUUUACACUAUAUACAAUAAUCCUUUACAUUACUGUAGUAGCAUUCUGGCUUUUUGAUGACAUUUGGCAUAAGCUAGCAUUAAGUCCAAUCCUACAAGAGCCAAUCAAAAUCCACUGAGAUGGCAUGCUGAAGGAAUAUUGGAGGCGUGUCCACUGCUAAUAAAUCCAGCCUAAUCCAUCCUCAAAAUUUCCAUAUAAUUUACAGAAAUUUUGAUAAUGCAAACCAAAUCUUUUUAUUUCUUCUCGGUGAAACUUCUAAUUCUCAAUUUCUCCUCCUGGGCCUUGCAGAAUUGGAAUCCUAGUCAAUGGUGUAAGAGGGCUAAGAGCUAUUAGUUUUAUCUUAAGGCAUAUAUUCCUUAUGUAGGGGCAACAAUGUAAACAUUGCAGACCUUGAGCAUUCUCUAACAUGUAGUUAGAUUUCCAUAAGGAAAUGUGCAAGCUAGAUCCCUCUCAAGCGCACUUCACAAUAGGAUUCCUGCUAUGAAAAUCUGCUGUUGCUGAUCUGACAGGCGGCGGAGCUCAGGCAAUCCAUGGCCAGGAGAUCGGAAACCCCUGCUCCCAGGUCUACAAAUCUUUUGACACAGCCUUAUUUCCACUUGCUGGGACCCUGUUGAUUUCCUGAGAAGUUUCACAAAAGCCUAGUAUAAAACUAUUUAACUUAGCAAUCUUCCAAAUGAACUUUACAUUUGGUUUUAGUAGUCUCAGCCCUACAGCUAUAAGAAAUGGAUUGUUUGUAUUGGCAUAUAAAAGCCUCCAAGUCCCUUUGCCUUGAGGCAGUAACUUUAAGACUCAAAUUUAUCCUUUCCCAUGUCUUUUGCCUGUUAACACUCUUUGUA